rnacentral:rRNA from 1 species
AUACGGAGGGUGCAAGCGUUAAUCGGAAUUACUGGGCGUAAAGCGCGCGUAGGCGGCUUAUUAAGUCAGAUGUGAAAUCCCCGGGCUCAACCUGGGAACUGCAUCUGAUACUGGUAAGCUAGAGUUUUGGAGAGGGAAGUAGAAUUUCAGGUGUAGCGGUGAAAUGCAUAGAGAUCUGAAGGAAUACCAGUGGCGAAGGCGACUUCCUGGCCAAAAACUGACGCUGAGGUGCGAAAGCGUGGGUAGCAAACGGGAUUAGAAACCCUUGUAGUCC